GACUAAGCGUACACGGUGGAUGCCCUGGCAGUCAGAGGCGAUGAAGGACGUGCUAAUCUGCGAUAAGCGUCGGUAAGGUGAUAUGAACCGUUAUAACCGGCGAUUUCCGAAUGGGGAAACCCAGUGUGAUUCGUCACACUAUCAUUAACUGAAUCCAUAGGUUAAUGAGGCGAACCGGGGGAACUGAAACAUCUAAGUACCCCGAGGAAAAGAAAUCAACCGAGAUUCCCCCAGUAGCGGCGAGCGAACGGGGAGCAGCCCAGAGCCUGAAUCAGUGUGUGUGUUAGUGGAAGCGUCUGGAAAGGCGCGCGAUACAGGGUGACAGCCCCGUACACAAAAAUACACAUACUGUGAGCUCGAUGAGUAGGGCGGGACACGUGGUAUCCUGUCUGAAUAUGGGGGGACCAUCCUCCAAGGCUAAAUACUCCUGACUGACCGAUAGUGAACCAGUACCGUGAGGGAAAGGCGAAAAGAACCCCGGCGAGGGGAGUGAAAAAGAACCUGAAACCGUGUACGUACAAGCAGUGGGAGCACGCUUAGGCGUGUGACUGCGUACCUUUUGUAUAAUGGGUCAGCGACUUAUAUUCUGUAGCAAGGUUAACCGAAUAGGGGAGCCGAAGGGAAACCGAGUCUUAACUGGGCGUUAAGUUGCAGGGUAUAGACCCGAAACCCGGUGAUCUAGCCAUGGGCAGGUUGAAGGUUGGGUAACACUAACUGGAGGACCGAACCGACUAAUGUUGAAAAAUUAGCGGAUGACUUGUGGCUGGGGGUGAAAGGCCAAUCAAACCGGGAGAUAGCUGGUUCUCCCCGAAAGCUAUUUAGGUAGCGCCUCGUGAAUUCAUCUCCGGGGGUAGAGCACUGUUUCGGCAAGGGGGUCAUCCCGACUUACCAACCCGAUGCAAACUGCGAAUACCGGAGAAUGUUAUCACGGGAGACACACGGCGGGUGCUAACGUCCGUCGUGAAGAGGGAAACAACCCAGACCGCCAGCUAAGGUCCCAAAGUCAUGGUUAAGUGGGAAACGAUGUGGGAAGGCCCAGACAGCCAGGAUGUUGGCUUAGAAGCAGCCAUCAUUUAAAGAAAGCGUAAUAGCUCACUGGUCGAGUCGGCCUGCGCGGAAGAUGUAACGGGGCUAAACCAUGCACCGAAGCUGCGGCAGCGACGCUUAUGCGUUGUUGGGUAGGGGAGCGUUCUGUAAGCCUGCGAAGGUGUGCUGUGAGGCAUGCUGGAGGUAUCAGAAGUGCGAAUGCUGACAUAAGUAACGAUAAAGCGGGUGAAAAGCCCGCUCGCCGGAAGACCAAGGGUUCCUGUCCAACGUUAAUCGGGGCAGGGUGAGUCGACCCCUAAGGCGAGGCCGAAAGGCGUAGUCGAUGGGAAACAGGUUAAUAUUCCUGUACUUGGUGUUACUGCGAAGGGGGGACGGAGAAGGCUAUGUUGGCCGGGCGACGGUUGUCCCGGUUUAAGCGUGUAGGCUGGUUUUCCAGGCAAAUCCGGAAAAUCAAGGCUGAGGCGUGAUGACGAGGCACUACGGUGCUGAAGCAACAAAUGCCAUGCUUCCAGGAAAAGCCUCUAAGCAUCAGGUAACAUCAAAUCGUACCCCAAACCGACACAGGUGGUCAGGUAGAGAAUACCAAGGCGCUUGAGAGAACUCGGGUGAAGGAACUAGGCAAAAUGGUGCCGUAACUUCGGGAGAAGGCACGCUGAUAUGUAGGUGAAGCGACUUGCUCGUGGAGCUGAAAUCAGUCGAAGAUACCAGCUGGCUGCAACUGUUUAUUAAAAACACAGCACUGUGCAAACACGAAAGUGGACGUAUACGGUGUGACGCCUGCCCGGUGCCGGAAGGUUAAUUGAUGGGGUCAGCGCAAGCGAAGCUCUUGAUCGAAGCCCCGGUAAACGGCGGCCGUAACUAUAACGGUCCUAAGGUAGCGAAAUUCCUUGUCGGGUAAGUUCCGACCUGCACGAAUGGCGUAAUGAUGGCCAGGCUGUCUCCACCCGAGACUCAGUGAAAUUGAACUCGCUGUGAAGAUGCAGUGUACCCGCGGCAAGACGGAAAGACCCCGUGAACCUUUACUAUAGCUUGACACUGAACAUUGAGCCUUGAUGUGUAGGAUAGGUGGGAGGCUUUGAAGUGUGGACGCCAGUCUGCAUGGAGCCGACCUUGAAAUACCACCCUUUAAUGUUUGAUGUUCUAACGUUGACCCGUAAUCCGGGUUGCGGACAGUGUCUGGUGGGUAGUUUGACUGGGGCGGUCUCCUCCUAAAGAGUAACGGAGGAGCACGAAGGUUGGCUAAUCCUGGUCGGACAUCAGGAGGUUAGUGCAAUGGCAUAAGCCAGCUUGACUGCGAGCGUGACGGCGCGAGCAGGUGCGAAAGCAGGUCAUAGUGAUCCGGUGGUUCUGAAUGGAAGGGCCAUCGCUCAACGGAUAAAAGGUACUCCGGGGAUAACAGGCUGAUACCGCCCAAGAGUUCAUAUCGACGGCGGUGUUUGGCACCUCGAUGUCGGCUCAUCACAUCCUGGGGCUGAAGUAGGUCCCAAGGGUAUGGCUGUUCGCCAUUUAAAGUGGUACGCGAGCUGGGUUUAGAACGUCGUGAGACAGUUCGGUCCCUAUCUGCCGUGGGCGCUGGAGAACUGAGGGGGGCUGCUCCUAGUACGAGAGGACCGGAGUGGACGCAUCACUGGUGUUCGGGUUGUCAUGCCAAUGGCACUGCCCGGUAGCUAAAUGCGGAAGAGAUAAGUGCUGAAAGCAUCUAAGCACGAAACUUGCCCCGAGAUGAGUUCUCCCUGACUCCUUGAGAGUCCUGAAGGAACGUUGAAGACGACGACGUUGAUAGGCCGGGUGUGUAAGCGCAGCGAUGCGUUGAGCUAACCGGUACUAAUGAACCGUGAGGCUUAACCUUACAACGCCGAAGGUGUUU
rnacentral:rRNA from 1 species